CAGUGUCUUUUUCUCCCUUAUUUCACUAAAUACAACAAUGUGUAACUUCAUUGCAGUUUUCAAAUGGCUGUGUAAAGAGUAUAUAGUGCUGUCUUGAGCAUUUU